GAUGAACGCUGGCGGCGUGCCUAAUACAUGCAAGUCGAGCGAACAGACGAGGAGCUUGCUCCUCUGACGUUAGCGGCGGACGGGUGAGUAACACGUGGAUAACCUACCUAUAAGACUGGGAUAACUUCGGGAAACCGAGCUAAUACCGGAUAAUAUAUUGAACCGCAUGGUUCAAUAGUGAAAGACGGUUUUGCUGUCACUUAUAGAUGGAUCCGCGCCGCAUUAGCUAGUUGGUAAGGUAACGGCUUACCAAGGCAACGAUGCGUAGCCGACCUGAGAGGGUGAUCGGCCACACUGGAACUGAGACACGGUCCAGACUCCUACGGGAGGCAGCAGUAGGGAAUCUUCCGCAAUGGGCGAAAGCCUGACGGAGCAACGCCGCGUGAGCGAUGAAGGUCUUCGGAUCGUAAAACUCUGUUAUUAGGGAAGAACAAAUGUGUAAGUAACUAUGCACGUCUUGACGGUACCUAAUCAGAAAGCCACGGCUAACUACGUG
rnacentral:rRNA from 1 species